GACGAACGCUGGCGGCGUGCUUAACACAUGCAAGUCGAACGGUAAGGCCCUUCGGGGUCCACGAGUGGCGAACGGGUGAGUAAGACGUGGGUGAUCAGCCCUGCACUUCGGGAUAAGCCUGGGAAACUGGGUCUAAUACCAGCGAGGACCACUGCCUGCAUGGGUGGUGGGGGAAAGCUUUUGCGGUGUGGGUUGGGCCCGCGGGUUAUCAGGUUUUGGGUGGGGGGAUGGCCUACCAAGGCGGCGACGGGUAGCCGGCCUGGGAGGGUGAGCGGGCCCACUGGGACUGCGAUACGGACCAGACUGCUACGGGAGGCAGCAGUGGGGAACAUGGCACAAUGGGGGCAAGCCUGAUGCAGAGACGCAGCGUGAGGAAUGACGGCCUUCGGGUUGUAAACCUCUUUCGGCAACGACGAAGCGCAAGUGACGGUAGGUGCAGAAGAAGGACCGGCCAACUACGUGCCAGCAGCCGCCGUAAGAC
rnacentral:rRNA from 1 species